GAAGGCGUACCAGUGAUACAAAUUGUUGCCAACACAGAGGCUUCGAUUGUGGUGAAACAGGGCUUAUUUGUACUCCAUCGCUUGGCUGAAGAGGUUGUUCACGACGUGAAAGUGAUUAUGUCUGAUAUGGCGGCUUCUUUCAUUAAUGCUUGGCGAGAGGCGUUCUCAAGUUUACCGGUGAAGCACGUUAAAUGUGCGUGGCAUCUCGAGAACGCUUGGAAAAAUCGUCUCCUACCUCACGAUCCCGAAUUACUGACGUGUCUUAGCCAAUUGCGUUUGACUCCCACGGAGUCAGAGUUCUGGACCUUUUAUUACAAGCUGAAGCAAGAUUAGAGCGGCAAGUCAGAUGGAUGGAAUUAUUUUGUCAAUAAUUACGGUCCAAAUGGAAAAGUAUGCAAACCAAAAGAAUGGGCUCGUUGUUUCAACCACGGGAUCUUGUCCCAUAACCUUAUCGAAGAAAGGUAUCAUCGAACGAUAAAAGAUUUAGCGCUCAAGCGAAGUGACAGAGUUGACCAGUUGUGUCACGUCCGCAAGUUUGAUGUUCAGAGUCCCGACCAGUUACUAAGCACUUACGUCCUCGCUCCAAACCCUUACAAGUGCAAUAAAAGCAUUUGUGAAGUACGUUGCUCUAGAUGCUCUUCCAACGGUGUCUGUAGUCAUGAAAUGACUUGCACGUGCCCCGAUUACGCCAGAAGAAAUACUUACAAACAUUCUCACUUGUUGACCAUGAAAACAGAAUAUCGUUCAAAUCGAGAUGUAGAUCUAGUUUUUGAGGAGGGAGAACCAACUCAAGAUACGCCUGACAACGACUAAAAUUGCAAGGAACAGAUUAUAAAUCUGUCUGGUAGCUUUGAAGAGCGAAAGGCAGCUGUACUACAGAGGUUAAAUAACCAACUCAACAUUUUAACACCAGUUGCUGCCGAGAUCCUUCUGAAGAAAGUUCAAGAUGCCUUACAAACCAGUGGACCAUUGUUUCCUAAAUUAGACAGGGGACAGAAGAGAGAGCGGAUUCAAUCAAUCUUUCCUCGGACCAGCAAUAAAAGAAAGAAAAUCCCCCCAACCUGUACCGGAAUCCCUCCAAAAAGAUUUGAUUUUAGAAUGUUGCACCUCCUCUCUAGACAGCAAUUGUUGGAUGUUUUGUAUAUCUUUGAAUAUAGAAACUGUAUUACAGUAAGCCAAAAA